GUUGUCGGCCUCCCACUGCAGUAUCACCUUCUCCCCCAAGUGUGACAACCAAAGAUGUCUCCAGAUAUUGCCAGAUGUCCUCUUGGAAGCAAGAUCGCUCCGGGUUGAGAUCCACAGAGCUAAACGUUUUAGAGUACCAACCAUUGUGUGCUGUGAGGAGCCAUAUAUUGAAGACCAUGUCUGGGAGCUUCUACUUUGUAAUUGUUGGCCACCAUGAUAAUCCAGUUUUUGAAAUGGAGUUUUUGCCAGCUGGGAAGGCAGAAUCCAAAGACGACCAUCGUCAUCUGAACCAGUUCAUAGCUCAUGCUGCUCUCGACCUCGUAGAUGAGAACAUGUGGCUAUCGAACAACAUGUACUUGAAAACUGUGGACAAGUUCAACGAGUGGUUUGUGUCGGCAUUUGUCACUGCGGGGCAUAUCCUUACCUUCUUAGUAAAGGUAACUAACUAAAGUUUGGGCUCACAAACCAGAAGAACAUGGAACAUAGAUGCCAGGCUCUGAGUCUGUAGACUUCACAGUCAGGUGAAAAUGUAAGUUUCCAUUUAUGGGGCUACUUUUCUUUUUUUAGGGGGGAAAAACAUUUUGUUUAAUAGCUAAUUUUAAAACUAAGUCUCAUACACAAAAAGAGUUUAUCUGGACCCUAUCAAGGGUGAUUUUACUUUAUUUUAUAGUUAUUUUCUAACUUUGAAAGCUUAUGUUCUCUUUAUGAUAAAACUAAGCUAAUUUUAAACCCCGUUUAUAUAUUCAACUUUUCCAUCACAAAUACACUGCAUGUGACUAAUUUGAAGAAUACUGUAUCAACGAACUGGUUGCUUUUUGUUUUUCAUUUCUAAGAAAGAUUAUGCCUUAAUUAUUUCACAUAUGAGGUUUAUUAUGCUUCAUGACAUAAGACAAGAAGAUGGAAUAAAGAACUUCUUUACUGAUGUUUAUGAUUUAUAUAUAAAGGUACGGUAUGUUCUAUAAUUUUUAAAUUCUGAUGAGAAAGGAUUUGACCUUUGUCAGGAAACUGGCCUAUUGAAGUAACUCCCUUAGGCUGCAGUUUACCUUUCAGACUAGCUUUCCCCCAUCAGAACUCUCUCUGGCAACUCCCUCCGCAGGUAAGUCUUCACAGCCAGGUGAAUAUGUAUUUAGGAACACAACUUCAUGGUAGUUACCUUUAGAUGAUUGUGAAGGUAAAUUGGUUUCAUUCUUCACCUUGUUGUCCUCAUAGCUGAUUUUAUUAGGGAUCCCUAAAGACAGCAAGAAAGCAGCCUAUAUAAGGGAAAAUUACUUCAUAAUUUAAUCUAAAAUGUUUCCAUCUACUUUACAAAUAAGUUACAGUGCAAUAGAGAUCAUAAACUGGCAGGAAGUGAUUUUUAUAUGAUCAAAUAGCCACUCAAGAAGAAUGGCGCCACUUGCAUUUCUUGAUUUUG
rnacentral:sRNA from 1 species